UGGUUUAUAUGAUGAGUAAAACAAAAAAUCACCAUCUUUCGGCUGAUAGUUGUGAUGAUUUGUUCUUACCUGAUAAAUUCCA
rnacentral:snoRNA from 1 species